UCUACCUCCGGAACUCAAGCAUUUGUACCGUCAUUGGGACACUGCCAUUCCACAUGUCCCUGUGACCAAGUUGAAAACAAUAUCAUGGAAUGAUCUUGGGCCUAUGGCAAAAGCAUGGGCCACUAUGGACGAAUCACAGCUACAGGAAAAUGGUGUUGUCAAAUAUCCAACAACUGACCACCUAAAAGCAUGGCCGCGUCAUUUCCUGGAGAAUGAGUCCCAAGAUUUAACCAUAGUGAAUGACUACGACCCAGAUACACCUCAUGACUGUUUUGAACAGAUGAAAAUGGAAACAACACAUCUACCAACUGUACAUGAAGACCCAUUGGUAGAUCCCGAUCUCACCCUGUUUGUGGGCGGCUCAAGAUAUGCUGAUGAAGAAGGAAGAUACCAUACAGGAUAUGCCGUAACCACAACAGAUGAAAUUGUCAAAUCAUCAUCUUUACCAUCAACUAUGUCUGCACAAGAAGCUGAAUUGCAAGCCCUGACUUCAGCAUGCAAGAUCUCUGAAGGAAAGCGCGCCAAUAUCUACACGGAUUCAAGAUAUGCACUGGGC